GAACUAUACCUAGCCCACCCCCUCCCCAUUACUACUAUCAUAGAUUAAUUAAUUAAAACAUUCACCACGCGUUUUAAAGUAUAGGAGAUAGAAAUUUAAUCAUCAGUGGCGCUAUAGAGAAAGUACCGUAAGGGAAAGAUGAAAGACCUAAUUAAAGUAAAAAAAAGCAAAGCUUACCCCUUGUACCUUUUGCAUAAUGACUUAACUAGCAAUAACUUAGCAAAGAGACCUUAAGUUAAAACACCCGAAACCAGACGAGCUACUUACAAGCAGUAACUAGGACAAACUCAUCUAUGUGGCAAAAUAGUGAGAAGACUUAUAAGUAGAGGUGAAAAGCCUAACGAGCCUGGUGAUAGCUGGUUGUCCAAAAAAGGAAUUUCAGUUCAACAUUAAACAAUGCUAAGAACCCCAUCAAGUCUCAACGUAUGUUUAACUGUUAGUCUAAAAAGGUACAGCUUUUUAGAAACGGAUACAACCUUUACUAGAGAGUAAUAUAAGACUUAAACCAUAGUUGGCCUAAAAGCAGCCACCAAUUAAGAAAGCGUUCAAGCUCAACAACAAAAAUAAGUCUUAAUCCCAAGAAUAAAUAAACAACUCCUAGCCUAACUAUUGGACUAAUCUAUUUAAUUAUAGAAGCAAUACUGUUAAUAUGAGUAACAAGAAAGAUUUUCUCCUCGCACAAGCUUACAUCAGUAGCUGAUAAUAUGCUGAUAAUUAACAGUUAAUAAAUACAACCCAACACUAAAUUAUUUAUUAAACACACUGUUAACCCAACACAGGCGUGCACUAAGGAAAGAUUAAAAAAAGUAAAAGGAACUCGGCAAACACAAACCCCGCCUGUUUACCAAAAACAUCACCUCUAGCAUAGCCAGUAUUAGAGGCACUGCCUGCCCAGUGACUUAAUCGUUAAACGGCCGCGGUAUCUUGACCGUGCAAAGGUAGCAUAAUCACUUGUUCUCUAAAUAAGGACUUGUAUGAAUGGCCACACGAGGGUUUUACUGUCUCUUACUUUUAAUCAGUGAAAUUGACCUCCCCGUGAAGAGGCGGGGAUAAUAAAAUAAGACGAGAAGACCCUAUGGAGCUUUAAUUAAUCAACUCAAAAAAAUCGUAAAACAGUACCACUAAGGGAUAACAAAAUUUUAUAUGGGUUGACAAUUUCGGUUGGGGUGACCUCGGAGUAUAAAAAACCCUCCGAGUGAUUAAAACCUAGGCCUACUAGCCAAAGUGUAGCAUCACUUAUUGAUCCAAAUUUUUGAUCAACGGAACAAGUUACCCUAGGGAUAACAGCGCAAUCCUAUUCUAGAGUCCGUAUCGACAAUAGGGUUUACGACCUCGAUGUUGGAUCAGGACAUCCUGAUGGUGCAGCAGCUAUCAAGGGUUCGUUUGUUCAACGAUUAAAGUCCUACGUGAUCUGAGUUCAGACCGGAGUAAUCCAGGUCGGUUUCUAUCUAUUACGCAUUUCUCCCAGUACGAAAGGACAAGAGAAAUAAGGCCAACUUCAAAAAAGCGCCUUUAAAUAAUUAGUGAUUCAAUCUUAACCUAAUAAACUAGCGCAAAUAUACUAUGCCCAAAAUCAGGGCUU
rnacentral:rRNA from 1 species